rnacentral:lncRNA from 1 species
GAGGGAGAUAGACCAUAUCACAAAGUUUUUUACAUAAUUACCCUUCACUUACUUCAUAUUUUACAAUUCAAAGCAUCAAUUUAAGUAACUUCCACGUACAAUAAUCACCUAGAGGUUAUUGUAGAUGAGAGAGACAUGGAAUAAGUAUCUUGAAGUUAUAUGGAACUGUCAAUUCUUCUCUCAUCUAUUUUUUUUCAUUUUUUAUUUUUGUCUUUCAUAUUAUGGUUUCAACCUUUUCUAUUUUUGUCUUCCAUAUGGUUUCAACCUUUAUCAUCACUUUCAUUCUUCUAAUGUCAUGGUAUUUUAAUUAAUUGUUUUGAUGUUGAAAUGUGUACGUGUUUGCUCAAUUUAGUUUUGUAUUUGUCUGAUCCUUUUUGUUACUUUUAAUUUAUUUAUUUAUUCUUUUUAUUAUGUGCAAUUUUGGUGGAAGUGAACACUACUCGAGAGAG